UGUCCUCAAGGAAGAUAAUGACGGUACUUGAGGAGGAAGCCCCGGCUAACUACGUGCCAGCAGCCGCGGUAAUACGUAGGGGGCUAGCGUUAUCCGGAUUUACUGGGCGUAAAGGGGGCGUAGGCGGUCUUUCAAGUCAGGAGUGAAAGGCUACGGCUCAACCGUAGUAAGCUCUUGAAACUGGGAGACUUGAGUGCAGGAGAGGAGAGUGGAAUUCCUAGUGUAGCGGUGAAAUGCGUAGAUAUUAGGAGGAACACCAGUUGCGAAGGCGGCUCUCUGGACUGUAACUGA
rnacentral:rRNA from 1 species